rnacentral:rRNA from 1 species
GACGAACGCUGGCGGCGUGCCUAACACAUGCAAGUCGAGCGGAGUUAGUAGCAAUACUAACUUAGCGGCGGACGGGUGAGUAACGCGUGAGUAACCUGCCGAGAACAGGGGGAUAACACAGGGAAACUUGUGCUAAUACCGCAUAAUAUCAUUGAAUGGCAUCAUUUGAUGAUCAAAGGAGUAAUCCGGUUUUUGAUGGACUCGCGUCUGAUUAGCUAGUAGGUGAGGUAAUGGCUCACCUAGGCGACGAUCAGUAGCCGAACUGAGAGGUUGAUCGGCCACAUUGGGACUGAGACACGGCCCAGACUCCUACGGGAGGCAGCAGUGGGGAAUAUUGCGCAAUGGGGGAAACCCUGACGCAGCAACGCCGCGUGAAGGAUGAAGGCUUUCGGGUUGUAAACUUCUUUGAUAGGGGACGAAUAAAUGACGGUACCCUAAAAACAAGCCACGGCUAACUACGUGCCAGCCGCCGCGGUAA